AUUGAACGCUGGCGGCAGGCCUAACACAUGCAAGUCGAACGGUAACAGGAAGAAGCUUGCUUCUUUGCUGACGAGUGGCGGACGGGUGAGUAAUGUCUGGGAAACUGCCUGAUGGAGGGGGAUAACUACUGGAAACGGUAGCUAAUACCGCAUAACGUCGCAAGACUAAAGAGGGGGAACUUCGGGCCUCUUGCCAUCGGAUGUGCCCAGAUGGGAUUAGCUAGUAGGUGGGGUAACGGCUCACCUAGGCGACGAUCCCUAGCUGGUCUGAGAGGAUGACCAGCCACACUGGAACUGAGACACGGUCCAGACUCCUACGGGAGGCAGCAGUGGGGAAUAUUGCACAAUGGGCGCAAGCCUGAUGCAGCCAUGCCGCGUGUAUGAAGAAGGCCUUCGGGUUGUAAAGUACUUUCAGCGGGGAGGAAGGGAGUAAAGUUAAUACCUUUGCUCAUUGACGUUACCCGCAGAAGAAGCACCGGCUAACUCCGUG
rnacentral:rRNA from 1 species